GACGAACGCUGGCGGCGUGCUUAACACAUGCCAGUCGAACGGAAAGGCCUGCUUUCCCUUGUGGAUUGCGGGUACUCGAGUGGCGAACGGGUGAGUAACACGUGAGUGAUCUGCCCCCAACUUGGGUAUAAGCCUGGGAAACUGGGUCUAAUUCCCGAUAGGACUGCAGGGUGGUGCCUGUGGUGGAAAACGAUUUUCUAGUGGUUGGGGAUGAGCUCGCGGCCUAUCAGCUUGUUGGUGGGGUAAUGGCCUACCAAGGCGGCGACGGGUAGCCGGCCUGAGAGGGUGGACGGCCACAUUGGGACUGAGAUACGGCCCAGACUCCGACGGGAGGCAGCAGUGGGGAAUAUUGCACAAUGGGCGGAAGCCUGAUGCAGCGACGCCGCGUGGGGGAUGACGGCCUUCGGGUUGUAAACUCCUUUCGACCGCGAGGAAGCCACCUGGUUGGAAGGGUGGUGACGGUAGUGGUAGAAGAAGCACCGGCUAACUACGUG
rnacentral:rRNA from 1 species